AAUAGUAUAUAUUGAUGGUUCUCAAUUAAAUGCGCCGCAGUUAAAUGGUUAAUAAGCCUUGCACAGUAUGAAAAAUUUAAAUAUUUCAUGAGAGAUAUACGAAAGAUGUCAUAGAAAUAAAUCUAAAAAAAGUAACAAAAAGAAUAGGUCCUGAGGAGUGGUAUUCCAUUAACCCUUAAACGGUAAGGAAAUCUUCACAAUUGAACCAGUUAGAUAAUGCUGCAGCAAGAGGGCUGGCCAACAGAAGGAAGAUACCCCUCCACUUAAAGUAAGUCAAUAGAUAAACCUAGAGAAAGUAUUUGAGAAAUUACAGCACGCCGGGAUUCGAACCCUGGAUCUCUUGCUUUCCGAAUGAACGUUCUACCACCUGAGCCAAGGAACCUAUAUACAAUUGAUUACAUAAAUACGUUUAUGUAUGAUAUGAUUUCCUAGUAUUAAAUAUCUUCUAAAUUAAAAUUGUAUUAUUUUAUGUAAAAUACUAUAAAUAAAUAAAAUAAAAUAUAUAUA
rnacentral:lncRNA from 1 species